rnacentral:rRNA from 1 species
GGUGAGUAACACGUGGGUAACCUGCCUGUAAGACUGGGAUAACUCCGGGAAACCGGGGCUAAUACCGGAUGCUUGAUUGAACCGCAUGGUUCAAUUAUAAAAGGUGGCUUUCAGCUACCACUUACAGAUGGACCCGCGGCGCAUUAGCUAGUUGGUGAGGUAACGGCUCACCAAGGCGACGAUGCGUAGCCGACCUGAGAGGGUGAUCGGCCACACUGGGACUGAGACACGGCCCAG